GAUGAACGCUGGCGGCGUGCCUAAUACAUGCAAGUCGAGCGAACAGACGAGGAGCUUGCUCCUCUGACGUUAGCGGCGGACGGGUGAGUAACACGUGGAUAACCUACCUAUAAGACUGGGAUAACUUCGGGAAACCGGAGCUAAUACCGGAUAAUAUAUUGAACCGCAUGGUUCAAUAGUGAAAGACGGUUUUGCUGUCACUUAUAGAUGGAUCCGCGCCGCAUUAGCUAGUUGGUAAGGUAACGGCGUGCCAAGGCAACGAUGCGUAGCUGACCUGAGAGGGUGAUCGGCCACACGGGAACGGAGACACGGUCCAGACUCCUACGGGAGGCAGCAGUAGGGAAUCUUCCGCAAUGGGCGAAAGCCUGACGGAGCAACGCCGCGUGAGUGAUGAAGGUCUUCGGAUCGUAAAACUCUGUUAUUAGGGAAGAACAAAUGUGUAAGUAACUAUGCACGUCUUGACGGUACCUAAUCAGAAAGCCACGGCUAACUACGUG
rnacentral:rRNA from 1 species